CAUUCAGUAGCCCAGCUACUUGUUUACACCCUCGUCUUUUUGCGUACUUAUCGUUUCCUCGGCGGGCUUGCCUGCCGGUUGGACAACUUUAUAACCUUUUUAAAUCUUCAAUCAGCGUCUGAAUAAUAUACAAUAAUUA
rnacentral:misc_RNA from 1 species